UUCCAUUGCAAUGAUGACAAAAAACUAUACCCAGCUCUUUGAGAUCUUCCAACGAUCCAGGAAAAUGCAUAUGUUCAUUUUGUCUAAGCUUUAGA
rnacentral:snoRNA from 1 species